rnacentral:rRNA from 1 species
UUGCUCUUCAACGAGGAAUCCCUAGUAAGCGCAAGUCAUCAGCUUGCGUUGAUUACGUCCCUGCCCUUUGUACACACCGCCCGUCGCUACUACCGAUUGAAUGGCUCAGUGAGGCUUUCGGACUGGCCCAGAGAGGUGGGCAACUACCACUCAGGGCCGGAAAGUUAUCCAAACUCGGUCAUUUAGAGGAAGUAAAAGUCGUAACAAGGUCUCCGUUGGUGAACCAGCGGAGGGAUCAUUACUGAGUUACCGCUCAUCAACCCUUUGUGAACAUACCUUAACUGUUGCUUCGGCGGGUAGGCGUCCCCUAAAAAGGACGUCUCCCGGCCCUCUCCCGUCCGCGGGUGGGGCGCCCGCCGGAGGAUAACCAAACUCUGAUUUAACGACGUUUCUUCUGAGUGACACAAGCAAAUAAUCAAAACUUUUAACAACGGAUCUCUUGGUUCUGGCAUCGAUGAAGAACGCAGCGAAAUGCGAUAAGUAAUGUGAAUUGCAGAAUUCAGUGAAUCAUCGAAUCUUUGAACGCACAUUGCGCCCGCCAGCAUUCUGGCGGGCAUGCCUGUUCGAGCGUCAUUUCAACCCUCAAGCUCUGCUUGGUGUUGGGGCUCUACGGUUGACGUAGGCCCUUAAAGGUAGUGGCGGACCCUCUCGGAGCCUCCUUUGCGUAGUAACAUUUCGUCUCGCAUUGGGAUUCGGAGGGACUCUAGCCGUAAAACCCCCAAUUUUACUAAGGUUGACCUCGGAUCAGGUAGGAAUACCCGCUGAACUUAAGCAUAUCAAUAAGCGGAGGA